AUACGUAGGGGGCGAGCGUUGUCCGGAAUGAUUGGGCGUAAAGGGCGCGUAGGCGGCCCGGUAAGUCUGGAGUGAAAGUCCUGUUUUUAAGAUGGGAAUUGCUUUGGAUACUGUCGGGCUUGAGUGCAGGAGAGGUAAGUGGAAUUCCCGGUGUAGCGGUGAAAUGCGUAGAGAUCGGGAGGAACACCAGUGGCGAAGGCGGGUAACUGGACUGCAACUGACGCUGAGGCGCGAAAGUGUGGGGAGCAAACAGGAUUAGAUACCCUGGUAGUCCACACUGUAAACGAUGAAUGCUAGGUGUAAGAGGUAUCGACCCCUUUUGUGCCGGAGUCAACACAAUAAGCAUUCCGCCUGGGGAGUACGGCCGCAAGGUUGAAACUCAAAGGAAUUGACGGGG
rnacentral:rRNA from 1 species